rnacentral:lncRNA from 1 species
GCGCCACCACACCCGACUAAAAGUCAGUUUCAAGUGUCUUCCUCAGUCACUCUCCACCUUGCUUUUUGAGAUAGGGUCUCUCACUGAACUUGAAUCAAUUGAGCUAGGCUGACUGACCAGCAAGCCCCAGAGAUCCUAUCUCUGCCUCCCUAGUUCCGGGGUUAAAAACAAGCACUACCAUAGUAGUGGUACAUGCCUCUAAUCCCAGCCUGGAGGGCAGAGGAGGGCAGAAACAGACAGAUCUCUGAGUUCAAGGCCAGCCUGGUCUACAUAGGGAGUUCCAGGACAGCCAGGGCCAGGGCUACAUAGAGAAACCCUGUGGAAACAAAAACAAAAACAAAAACAAAAUAAAACCAAAACCCAAGAACAACAACAAAACAUAUGCUGUUGCUCCUGACUGUUUGCAUGGGUACUAGGAAUCAAACUCAUGCUUCUAUAGCAAGUGUUGUACCAACGAGCCAUUUCUCAGCCUGAAGAGAACAAUUUUUUUUAUUAAAUCUAGAUUUUUCUCAUGCCUUCUAGGCAUCUUGUCAUUUAUAUGCCUGUGACAUUUGAGUUAACUUCUUCAAAGGGUGUAAGGUCAGAUGGUGUCAGUUUUCUAACUCCCUUCAGUAGAGUCUUCAGGAUUCUGUCUUUGCCUUUGUAAUUUGUAAUGUUGCCUUCCAGGCUUUCAUUACAAAUUCUAGAACAAAUCCAGCCCAUGCCGGAUACUACACACGCAUAGCCUAGCAACCAGUGACAUUGUUCUUAAAGCUGGGGGUAGAAGCUUUACCAUGAAACUUCUUGUGUAGAAAGAAGAGCCAAUGACAGAAUUUAUUCCUUAGCUACAUCACUGAACUGUAAAAUCAAGUAUCACUUGAGGCCUAUGCCUGCCCUGGACUUUCUAGCUCCAUGGGUUCUAUGCACU